GCCUACAAAGUGCAAUUCCUCGGCAUGGUUCUCUCUCCCAUGUAUCAAAUGGCGUGGAAGGUUUGGGCGCUGCCAAAAAUCAAGUUCUUUGCUUGGUUGGCCAUUCAAGAUCGAAUUUGGACCACCGGUAGGUUGGCCGAACGAGGGUGGACGAACUUCAUCCUUUGCCCCCUUUGCAGGAGGGUGAUAGAAUGUGGAUCCCACCUCUUCUUUAAAUGUCAUUACUCUCUUAGGCAUUGGAACUUGGUCAUCGAGAAAUUUCACCUUGAGGACUGGGACACCUCCACCUAGCAUAUCAAGGGCACCAUUGAGGAUUGGUGGGAAAGCCAAACUGGUGUUUGUACAUGCAACAGAAAAGCAAUGGCCUCACUUACUAUGCUUGUAUUGUGGACCAUAUGGAAUGAGUUGAAUGCACAGGUGUUCUGGCAUGCUAAAUAUCAUCGUGGAUGA
rnacentral:rRNA from 1 species